GCUUCUUCUUCACCUGAAGACCAGAGUAGGUUGGAGGUGACUAGUGUGUGUAAGCCCAGGAGAAGCAAGGGCUUAGAGAAGAAUCCAACUGUGACAUCGAGAAGAGCCUGUCCAGUCCCUUCCCAGUAGUGGCUCUGGGGCCCAGGCCCGGCUUCCAGAAGAUGGGGCAGCUCUACUCUGGGGUCAAAGCCAACUACUGCUUGGGUAAGGAGCAGGGCAGGCCUAGUCUUCCUGCACAGAAAGCCUGAGAGAAUUGGCUCUCCCUUUCUCUGGAGCCCAGAGAUUGGGCUGGCUGGGGUCUAGGAUCAAUGAGGGGGAAGCACACCUGAGGAUUGUGCAGCAGGAAGGCCAGGGUCCAUUUAACCACAGAGAUGUCCCCUAUGGUGGUGAGAAUGUGGUUAUCUGAAAGCAGCUCUGAGUCUUGAUCUGGGCCAGCAUUGCCAUU
rnacentral:lncRNA from 1 species